rnacentral:rRNA from 1 species
UACGGGGGGGGCAAGGCGUUGUUCGGUAAUUACUGGGCGUAAAAGGGCUCGUAGGUGGCCAACUAAGUCAGACGUGAAAAUCCCCUCGGCGUUAACCGGGGGAACUGCGUCUGAUACUGGAUGGCUUGAGUUCGGGAGAGGGAUGCGGAAUUCCAGGUGUAGCGGUGAAAUGCGUAGAUAGUCAGGAGGAACACCAAUGGCGAAGGCAGAUCUCUGGGCCUUACCUGACGCUGGAGGAGCGAAAGCGUGGGGAGCGAACAGG